AUGCUCCCUACAUCCUCUGACUGUAGGACCGUGGGCGGGACGGGAGCCCGCCUCGGACUUCAGGGCCGCCUGGGGUCAGUAUCCUGCGGCAGCGUCUGGGUGGUGGGGGAAGCCGCCCGGGUGUGGGGGGCCCUCCCAGCCGCCAGGGGUCGCGCUGCAGGCGGCCGGGCGCUGGGCAGGCGCUUGCCAGGGUCACGGCCGCCGGUCGAGGCGGGGGGGGGUAGGGGUAGCGGCAGCACCCGCGGCCCCGCGGGGGGGGGUGGGGGGAGUGGAGAAAGCGGGGCGCGCGGAGGAGCGCCCGGCCCCCAGUGCCACCUGGGAUGGGAGGAACGUGCGGACCCAGCUAUCAGCGCGGCAGCGCAGUUCCCGCUUGGCGCAGCGCGGCGGGGACGCUGGGACGGCCGGGAUUUCCCCUGCACCGCGCCCCGCGCCCCGGUGCCCUCGGCCGCCUCUUCUUCACUCGCCGCCCGGACGGGAGCGGCGCCCGAGUCGGGCGCGCCAUGUCCGGGGCCGGGUAGCCCUGCCGCCCGCCGGCCCGCCAGCCCGCGCUCCGAGCCACCCGCCAGCGGGCCGGCCGGCCGGGCAGUCGCGGGGCAGGCAGGUAGGGGCUGGACCGGGCGGGGCGGCGGGCGGGGAAGCGAGGGAGGGAGGGAGCGCCAGCGGGGCGGGGGGAAUCGCCCCCAGCUGUCCUGCAGCGCUGCACAUCUGGUUCCGGUUCCUCUCUCCUGGGGAAGUGAAAGUGGAGGGGAGGGCACAAGCCGGAGUUGGCUGGCCGUGCGGGGCCCCUGCACCUCCUGCUCCCGCGGGGGCCCGCGCCGGAGCUCCCCUCCCUCCCGCCAGGGUCACGCGGCGGCCGGCGCUGCUGCCGUCACGUCCUCGGCCGCCGGCGCGCCCGCUUCUCCCUGCCCUCCGCUUCUCCUCCGCCUCCUCCCCCGCGGCGCACCCUUCUGCCCCAACCCGAACUUCCCGCGGCCGCGCAUGUGGGCGUUGGAUACGGCGUGGCCCCUGUGCCGGUCUCCUUCCCCGGGGAGAGAGGGCUGCCGUCUGCAGGACCGGGCUGGAUGA
rnacentral:lncRNA from 1 species